rnacentral:rRNA from 1 species
UACUUGGGGGGGUCUUACACAUGCAAGUCGAACGGGAUCCAUCAGGCUUUGCUUGGUGGUGAGAGUGGCGAACGGGUGAGUAAUGCGUGACCGACCUGCCCCAUACACCGGAAUAGCUCCUGGAAACGGGUGGUAAUGCCGGAUGCUCCGACUCCUCGCAUGGGGUGUCGGGAAAGAUUUCAUCGGUAUGGGAUGGGGUCGCGUCCUAUCAGGUAGUCGGCGGGGUAACGGCCCACCGAGCCUACGACGGGUAGCCGGCCUGAGAGGGCGACCGGCCACAUUGGGACUGAGAUACGGCCCAGACUCCUACGGGAGGCAGCAGUGGGGAAUAUUGCACAAUGGGCGCAAGCCUGAUGCAGCGACGCCGCGUGCGGGAUGACGGCCUUCGGGUUGUAAACCGCUUUUGAUCGGGAGCAAGCCUUCGGGUGAGUGUACCUUUCGAAUAAGCACCGGCUAACUACGUGCCAGCAGCCGCGGUAAUACGUAGGGUGCAAGCGUUAUCCGGAAUUAUUGGGCGUAAAGGGCUCGUAGGCGGUUCGUCGCGUCCGGUGUGAAAGUCCAUCGCUUAACGGUGGAUCUGCGCCGGGUACGGGCGGGCUGGAGUGCGGUAGGGGAGACUGGAAUUCCCGGUGUAACGGUGGAAUGUGUAGAUAUCGGGAAGAACACCAAUGGCGAAGGCAGGUCUCUGGGCCGUUACUGACGCUGAGGAGCGAAAGCGUGGGGAGCGAACAGGAUUAGAUACCCUGGUAGUCCACGCCGUAAACGGUGGAUGCUGGAUGUGGGGCCCGUUCCACGGGUUCCGUGUCGGAGCUAACGCGUUAAGCAUCCCGCCUGGGGAGUACGGCCGCAAGGCUAAAACUCAAAGAAAUUGACGGGGGCCCGCACAAGCGGCGGAGCAUGCGGAUUAAUUCGAUGCAACGCGAAGAACCUUACCUGGGCUUGACAUGUUCCCGACAGCCGUAGAGAUAUGGCCUCCCUUCGGGGCGGGUUCACAGGUGGUGCAUGGUCGUCGUCAGCUCGUGUCGUGAGAUGUUGGGUUAAGUCCCGCAACGAGCGCAACCCUCGCCCUGUGUUGCCAGCACGUCAUGGUGGGAACUCACGGGGGACCGCCGGGGUCAACUCGGAGGAAGGUGGGGAUGACGUCAGAUCAUCAUGCCCCUUACGUCCAGGGCUUCACGCAUGCUACAAUGGCCGGUACAACGGGAUGCGACACGGCGACGUGGAGCGGAUCCCUGAAAACCGGUCUCAGUUCGGAUUGGAGUCUGCAACCCGACUCCAUGAAGGCGGAGUCGCUAGUAAUCGCGGAUCAGCAACGCCGCGGUGAAUGCGUUCCCGGGCCUUGUACACACCGCCCGUCAAGUCAUGAAAGUGGGUAGCACCCGAAGCCGGUGGCCUAACCCUUUGUGGAUGGAGCCGUCUAAAGGGAGAUUCGU